GCCUGGCUGGCUCAGUCAGUACAGCAUGCAACUCUUGAUCUCAGGGUUGUGGGUUCAAGCCCCAUGUUGGGUG
rnacentral:tRNA from 1 species